rnacentral:rRNA from 1 species
UACGGAGGGUGCAAGCGUUAUCCGGAUUCAUUGGGCUUAAAGGGUGUGUAGGCGGUUUUUUAAGUCAGUGGUGAAAUCUCCGGGCUCAACCUGGAAACUGCCAUUGAUACUAUUAGUCUUGAAUUCUGUUGAGGUGGGCGGAAUACAUCAUGUAGCGGUGAAAUGCUUAGAUAUGAUGUAGAACACCGAUUGCGAAGGCAGCUCACUAAGCAGACAUUGACGCUGAGGCACGAAAGCGUGGGGAUCAAACAGG